UACGUAGGUGGCAAGCGUUGUUCGGAAUUAUUGGGCGUAAAGGGCGCGUAGGCGGUCUUGUAAGUCAGGUGUGAAAUCCCCGGGCUUAACCUGGGAAUUGCGCUUGAAACUAGCGGGCUUGAGUGUGGCAGAGGGGGGUGGAAUUCCACGUGUAGCAGUGAAAUGCGUAGAGAUGUGGAGGAACACCGAUGGCGAAGGCAGCCCCCUGGGUCAACACUGACGCUCAUGCACGAAAGCGUGGGGAGCAAACAGG
rnacentral:rRNA from 1 species